rnacentral:rRNA from 1 species
AUUGAACGCUGGCGGCAUGCCUUACACAUGCAAGUCGAACGGCAGCACGGGGGCAACCCUGGUGGCGAGUGGCGAACGGGUGAGUAAUGCAUCGGAACGUGCCCAGUAGUGGGGGAUAACCAGUCGAAAGACUGGCUAAUACCGCAUACGACCCAAGGGUGAAAGCGGGGGGCCGUAAGGCCUCUCGCUAUUGGAGCGGCCUAUGUCUGAUUGGCUGGUUGGAGGGGUAAGAGCCAACCAAGGCGACGAUCAGUAGCUGGUCUGAGAGGACGACCAGCCACACUGGGACUGAGACACGGCCCAGACUCCUACGGGAGGCAGCAGUGGGGAAUUUUGGGCAAUGGGCGCAAGCCUGAUCCAGCCAUGCCGCGUGCGGGAAGAAGGCCUUCGGGUUGUAAACCGCUUUUGGCAGGAACGAAACGGCGCAGGCCAAUACCUUGCGCUAAUGACGGUACCUGCAGAAUAAGCACCGGCUAACUACGUGCCAGCAGCCGCCGUAAGAC